rnacentral:rRNA from 1 species
GACGAACGCUGGCGGCGUGCUUAACACAUGCAAGUCGAACGGAAAGGCCCUGAUCUUGUGGGUUGCUCGAGUGGCGAACGGGUGAGUAACACGUGUGUAACCUGCCCUUGACUUUGGGAUAACUUCAGGAAACUCGGGCUAAUACCGGAUAGGAGCUCCUGCUGCAUGGUGGGGGAUGGAAAGUUUCGGCGGUUGGGGAUGGACUCGCGGCUUAUCCGCUUGUUGGUGGGGUAGUGGCGUACCAAGGCUUUGACGGGUAGCCGGCCUGAGAGGGUGACCGGCCACAUUGGGACUGAGAGACGGCCCAGACGCCUACGGGAGGCAGCAGUGGGGAAUAUGGCACAAUGGGCGGAAGCCUGAUGCAGCAGCGCCGCGUGCGGGAUGACGGCCUUCGGGUUGUAAACCGCUUUCGCCUGUGACGAGGCGUGAGUGACGGUAAUGGGUAAAGAAGCACCGGCUAACUACGUG